GACCCCCUGUACAAUGUGUGCAGACAAACCCUGUCCUUUGGGAUCUGCUUUUGUUAAGUGCGGGAAUAAGUAAGAGUACUCUGGCCCUUUAGUUCAGGGUUGACAUAGUGCCUAAAGCAGCCCUGGUGUUUAAAUGUAACUGUAAAAUUACCUGCUGCCUGAGAACCCCUAUUUGUUUCUAUUUAAAACCCCUUCCCCAUUCAUUCUUUUUUGUUACUUUGUUGAAAAGGCAUAGUUUCCACUAAAAUAUAUAGUCCUUUUCUCCAAGGGGGAUACUUUGUUUUCACUUAUGUGGAUGGAAACCUGUGAAAACAAUACGGCCAUAAUUGUAUGCAUGUCGAUUUAACCCUACAGCCUCACGGCCGAUGUGCUGCUAGUGUUGGCCUCUUUUGGGUUGCUGCGCACUAGCAAACUACAGGGCUUCUUACGGACUCUGAAGGUUACCUAAGCUAAUGACGCACUGACUUGAAAAUAUGUUGCUUCCUGCAUAUGUGUGUUUAUAUUAAAUCCAAAUUGUAUUUCCGUCAUCUGUGUAACGGUGCAAAGUUGAAAGGAGUUCAACAUGCAAAAACUAAAACAUCGGAAUCGGCUUUAUUGGCCGGGUAUGUGUAAACGAGGACUUUGACUCUGGAUUAUGAUUUUGACUGUAUCAAUGUGAAACAUAACAUGUAACAGAUUUAGCAGUGGCUAUAUUUACAACAAUGAAACAUCAAUGGAAAAACAUGUCAAUUCACAAAAACUAAUGUUCAUGUUUCAGUUAAGCUAUCAAAGCUCUCCGAUGCCCAACUUUUGUACUUUUGACUCAACUUUAUUAAAACAGUGUGUGUGUGUUGGUGUUUACAUGACAACCUUAGCUUGGGAAGUGGCGUAUGCUCGUUUCCAGCCCUGUUUCGUACGUACAGUUAUAAAUGAGACCGCUGACCCGGUGAGGCAUGGACUCGUCAUGAGGCAUGUUCUGACACCUUUUUUAUUUCAGCAUUAACUUCUUCAGCUGUUUGACCUACAGUUGCUCCUCUAUUGGAGGCCAGUUUCAGCUACCCACAUGCAUCAGAGAGCCUUAGUCACAAAUGACCGUCACCGGCUCAUGGCUUUUCCUUCAUUGGAGCACUUCUGAAAGGUACUGACCACUGCAGACCAGUUUGGAGAUGCUCUGACCGUCGUCGUCUAGCCAUCGCAGUUGGGUCCUUGUCAGAGUCGCUGCCCAUUUUUCCUGCUGACAGUUCAACUAUGAGGACACAAUGUUCACCUGCCGUCUGAUCUGUCCCACCCACUGACGGGUGCCAUGGUAACCCAAUAAUCACUGUUGUUCAAUUUACCUGUUAGUGAUCAUAAUGUUACGGCUGAUAACUCUAACUUGAUCUUGUUAUACCGCCCUGUGGUGUUAAAUGAUAAACACACCUGGUAGUUUGCAUGGUGUCCUGUCCCUGUGAGCAGUGGUGGAAACUUAAUCCAGUAUCUUAACUGGAUCUCUGCUUGCAGAUUUAUCUUGGUCUGCAGUCAGAGAUACUGACCUGGAAGGACCUGUAGAGUUAAUGAUGCACUUAUUUUUAACAACCUGUAGGUUUAAUGAUAUAGGUCAGUCUGGAAACUCUGAUUUCAGUGGAACUGAUUGGGUACAAGGUAGAUAGCAUUUACAACACAAGGGUGUGUCUCGACAUUAAGUUGCAGUUCCCUUUGUGCUACUCCAAAAACAAACAUUAUGUACAAAAGGCAUGUAGGGUAAAUGGUAACAUAAUAAGUCAUAGAAACAAAACUAUUUCACAUGGUGCAGUGCUGAGGAUGAGGUGAGCACAUACUUCUGUAUCUCGUUUAUCAACUUGUAGGGCUCCAUGGUCAGGUUAGUAAGUAAAAUAAAACCACUGACUUUUUGUCUCGCACAGGAAAUGAACACCUGGGUGAAAGUCUGGUUUCUGGAGCUCCACCUUCUCACUCUGACCUUUCUGUACACCUACCUUCAAAAAUGACGCCACAGGGCUACCGGCUGCGUUGAACUGUGACACUGAGGGGCUCCCCAGUGUGUUACAAAGUGACACUGACGGAUCUUAACCAAGGCAUCAUAUGCGACAACUUGGGAGUGAGAAUGCGUUGGUUUCUGAGCACUCUGUACCUGUACUGUGGAAAUGUGAGAUGACCAUGUCAGGUUUUCUGCAGGAACCUCAAACUGUUCACCUGCUCCACCUCAGCUCCACUGGGGUGUGUCCUUACAUCCUUCUUAAAAUCAACAACCAGCUACUUGAUUUUGCAGGGAUCCCAUCAAUCUGCAUCCGAGUAACAUGACUUUAAAACUUGAGUUUUCAUGCAGGUAAUUCGCCGAUCUUUCCCAAUAACAUCUGUGGCUAGCAAAUGCGUCGGCACCUUGAACGGUUAUGAAGUCACCAGCGAGGCUCACUUUGGUCGGGUUUAGGUUUCACACAUGACCUGUGGGAAAGUUCUGUCUGUUUAACCCAUCCACCCACCCCAACCAACUCCGUUCCUUCUCUUUAUACUACGUCACGUACUCCCCGUACACUAAAAGCACAGGCUGGUAUUGGCGUAUCACCGCCACACCGCCGUAUGCAUAUCCAGACUUUUUGUGCACAAACUCUGAUUUUUCACUUGCCAAUAUUAUAUGUUCACACUUUAAGAGCAUUUUUCAUUUGAAAACCACAAAAUGUGUAUCCAGAUUCAAACACAUUACUUGUAUACCAAUGAACAUCCUUUAUAAAUAGAUUUAGAAUAGAUAUAAAUACAGUUUAAGAUUACUCACUUUUAAUCUAAUAUUGGCUGUGAUUUUUAGAAACAACUUGGCCACUAACAGGAAAAUAACAAGUCCAAUAAAUAUGAAGAGCUGCUUCAGAGGAAAGGCUCUUGUAUUAAUUAACUUAUAUUGACUCUAUAAACAAUUUAUUAUAGAUAAGGUUUUGCCCGCUCAGAUGGCACUGAUAUCUGGUCUGGCCCAUAUUUGGGUGGAGUCGCCUUUAAAAUAAAGGAUUAGGUCUCUGUUUUCACAGACAGACUUGGAGGAGACACCAGCGAGACGACAUUCACAGGGAAACCACAGGUUGGACACAAAAAUCACCACUUAAGUGCUGAAAAACACGUUAAAAAUGGGGAACGUACCGUCAGAAAGUAACAUGGGCGAAAACCUGAGAUGCUGCAAGUGUGAUAUAGUCCUGCCUCCGUGCAAAUCCUUCGAUGAUUUCCACAAAAGUACUGUUCAUGGGCAGCUUGUGUAUGUGUUCAAUGGAGGAGAAUACUACAGACCGGUUGGCGCUGAUAAUAUGUACGAGUGUGCAUGCUGCUUUAAUAAGCCAAUCAGGGAUCAAGAGGAGGAGACCGGGUUACCAGCAGAAUGUAAUAUGGGUGACCGCCUGAGAUGCUGCAAGUGUGAUAAAGUCCUGCCUCCGUGCAAAUCCUUCAAUGAUUUAUAUGUAACUACUCUUAAUGAGCAGCGAGUGUAUGUGUUCAAUGGAGGCGAAUACUACAGACCAUAUGAAGUCUUUAAGCACGAGUGUGCAAAAUGCUUUGAGAGUAAAUGAGCUGAGAGGAGACUGGAGAAAGUCCUAAACGCUGUCUGAGAUUAGAUCAGACAUUAGAUUUAAUGAGGAGCCUUUGGGGUUUUUUUACAGUCCAAAUCUUGUUUCGACUGUUUUGACAUCAAAAAGGAGAAAACUUCAAGUGUCAAUGUUGGAUUAUACAUUAUUCCUGAUGUUGUAUUGCUAUUAAAAUGUUUCAGGCAUAACCUC